rnacentral:misc_RNA from 1 species
GAACGCACCUUGCGCCUUUUGGUAUUCCGAAAGGCAUGCCUGUUUGAGUGUCAUGAAAUCUCAAUCCCCCUGGGUUUAUGAUCUGGGUUGGGACUUGGACUUGGGUGCUGCCGGUUACAUGGCUCGCCUCAAAUGACUUAGUGGAUCUCUUUGCAUCCGUGACAGACGUAAUAAGUUUCGUCUUGUCCCUUGCUGUCUGAGUCUGCUCCUAACCUGCCAUUGUGCACUUUUAGACUCUGACCUCAAAUCAGGUAGGACUACCCGCUGAACUUAAG